AAUUCUCUGAAGACGCUUCGUACACUGCGCUCAUUAAAGCAAUCAGCUGAUAAACAGCCGGUAAAUCUGGAAGUCUACUACGUAUACAGUUUCGAACGCCUUCAAAUUGGUUGACGAAGCCAAAUUUACCUUCAAUGUUAAAUCUUCCGUACGGCAAAUUGUUGCACACCGACGCUGCAUGCUAAUUCUACCGCUGGCAUACAAGCAUCAGCGAACCAACCCCCAUCGAAGCCAUAGCCACAGCAAUAGAACCGGACCAAAAAACCUACAACACACACACACCCAUACAAUAAGAAUGGACAGCAACCACCCAUCUUCCCUGCACAACCGAGCAUGCCCGGGAUAUGGCAAAUAACUAGGAGGAAAUGCCUAGUUAAUUUUGUUAAUUGUUUUUUUUUUGCGUGAAUAUAAUUCACAGUCACCACAUGCGGUGGUGACAAUACGGCAUCGGGCCGUAAUACUCAAUAAAUAAAUAAUACAAGCAUCAUCCGCCGUCUUCGCGGCUUGUUCCGGAAUAUAUAAUAGAUAAUUUUCUUUCGUAAUACCUAGCCUAAUCACUAUUCCUACCAGCAAAGGCUAAUCGGCAUCGCAGCGUUUACCGUUCGUAAGAAACAACCCUGUUUUUCAGUAAUUUGAUAUAGAUUACUAUAAACGCUAGAACGCAUACUACAGUGCAUCCGAUUCCCGGCGUCCAACUAUCCAUCUGGUCUUGACUUCAUGUUCCACGGGUGUCCUCGUACCAGAACCAUAGCAGUGUGUGUUGGGAUGGAAAAUAUUGGGGAGGACAGCUAGCUCUGAGCGUUGGACAGAAGCUCACGACAGGCAGACGAAUCGAGAUCUUCCACCGGGUGCGCCUCUUCCGCCGGCACCGGUACCGAAACAUCCUCGUUCACCGUGACGGCUGGGGUUGGGAAGUUCUUCGGCAGAGUACCGAACGCACCGCUGAACGACGGAACAUCGAUCUGUCGGAUGUUGGCACUGUCCUACAACACCUUGUUCGCCACCGCCAGUGUGAAGACCAUCGCGUCGAUGUAGCAUCGAUGCUCGUACACCGUAACGGACCGCUAGAUGCGAAAAUCUUUUUGACGAAACCUUUGUUCUCGCUAAUGAGGAAAUGCAAAGUGAUGUCGACCGGGCAGAGGUUUAUGAUGAGCAAUGCCAUUAUACACCAUCAACAGCUGGAAACUGCAGCUCGAUGUGGCAAAACAUUCUUCCGACGUAGCAGCAGUGUUUCAGGUAUGUAUGAGCAGACAUCGCGCGAUAUUUUUUGGUGCGUUUUCUAUUGUAGUGUAGUGCAUAAAAUGGAAAACGCUAACGCUGCUGUACCUCGAUACGUAUCUGCUCGGUAAGGCGUUCCAACUGUCGAUCAAGUACGAGUAUCUGCGCACCGGUGGCAACACGAUCAGGACAUUCUUAAUAAAUAAACAAAUAAAACAUUUUUUAUUGUUCGCUAUAUAAAGUUUAUAAAGCAAGCAAUUCGAUCAGGCUGUUCCUACCGAAUACAAACAGUUUAUAGGCAUUAUAGAAAUGAAUAGGUUUAUUCAACAUAUUUCAUUUCUUUCCCUAUUGAAUUCCAUACAUUCACAUGUACUUUGUGCCUAUUUUCGGAAUCCAUUAAAACGAAAAGUAAAUUGUUUAUCGGAUUUUUUUAACCUCAAUGAGUCAUCAAUUAUUUUUCAAAUAAUUUUAUUGCUCAAAAACUCCAAUUUCUUAAGCGCUUUUUUGUUUUAUCGUGAAACCUGCCGAACCAUUCACAUUAAGAAUGUGAAGUACUGAACUAAGCUGUGUGUACAGCCGAGCUGUCUUCCUGUUCAAUUAUUCGUGCCAAGCUUGGUUUGAGCUGUCAUCAAAGAAAAACCAUGUGGUAAACGAAAACAAUACCGUGACACCGUGAAUGCUAUUAUACAUUUUCUAAAGAGUUUUUUUUAUUGUGUUCAAGUGAAUAAAAUGUAGAGCGCUUACGUCGCUGUGCCUCGAUACCCCGGUUAUGCUGUGUGAGGACCGGUUCCGCUAUCGCCUCGCGUUCCACUGUUCGAAGGUGUUCCAGAUGUUGUUCUUUUGACGGGCUGGCUAUUAAAAUAACGUCUAUGUAAAUAAAAACGAAAUCAAAAUCA